CCUACGGGAGACAGCAGUGAGGAAUAUUGGUCAAUGGACGGAAGCCUGAACCAGCCAUGCCGCGUGCAGGAAGACGGCUCUAUGAGUUGUAAACUGUUUUUGCACAAGGGUAAACCUGAAUACGUGUAUUCAGCUGAAAGUACUGUACGAACAAGGAUCGGCUAACUCCGGGCCAGCAGCCGCGGUAAUACGGAGGAUCCAAGCGUUAUCCGGAUUGAUUGGGUUUAAGGGGUGCGUAGGCGGAAUGAUAAGUUAGAGGUGAAAGUUCCGAGCUUAACUCUGGAACUGCCUCUAAUACUGUUGAUCUAGAGAGUAGGUGCGGUAGGCGGAAUGUAGGGUGUAGCGGUGAAAUGCUUAGAGAUCAGACAGAACACCGGUUGCGAAGGCAGCUUACCAAUCUAUAUCUGACGUUGAGGCACGAAAGCGUGGGGAGCAAACAGGAUUAGAUACCCGGGUAGUC
rnacentral:rRNA from 1 species